AUAGUAUAGUAUAGUAUAGUAUAGGUAUGAAAGAAGAUAAUGGAUCGUCGAUGGCAAAAGGCAGAAAUUUUUAACGGAAAAUUGUACAUAUAGUAAUUACAUUAAUAAUCAUGGUUAAUAAUGACGGGUGAGAAUUGAGAAUACUAUAAAGCGAGAUAAUAAUUUCAGAAUUCUGGUUCUGUAAAGCCUUGACCUCGUGCAAUCGCUGUCCCCAACGGGCCUUGACCUCGCCAUUUCAACUGAAAUUUUUGAAAUGAUUUUUCGAAAGAAUGUGUACAGAAGGAAUCGGUUGAAUACGAACGUUUCACCGGUGACGCGAUAUGGAAGGACAAAUUGUUUCGAGUUUCUAAUGAAAGUGGACGGUAAUUAGAGCUUGUUAUGCCUCCGUAAACAAUGGAACGGUGCAAGAAUACUCGGCCGAACGAUGUGUUGGUAGAAGAAAAAAAAUUGUUUAAAUAAAGAGGGGCACCUCACGGAAUCGCGUUUAAUUCUUUACUGAGGGGUUACGUUUGGCUUCGCACCCUCUCCACGAAAUAGGGGUAACGGGGGUGGAAGAUUGCGCAUGCGUUUCAUAGAUUCACGAAUGUUUCCGUACUGAACACACGAAAUUGUAUGUUCGGAGAGAUAUCGGUGCGUCCAGCAAGUGUAACGAGACGAAUGGAUGCGUUUCUGCAUAAGAAAGGAUCGUACUACUACGCCUAUCGUUGCAGUUAUACGGAAAUAAACGUUAGUCGGUCAAUAGGAAUAAUCGGAGGGUGCGUAAGAGUGCGAUGAAUGAAGCUUCUAAGAGGGUGAUCGACACGUACACUAGUAUACGACAUUUGUGACACUUGACGGAGACUUUACGGAUAGAAAUUGUCUCGCAAGCUCGAAAUUUGAAGACAUUAAUGAAUCUCAACUGGAAAAGAACGCUACUCAUAGACUAUUUUUGCAAUCAUUCGGCUUCAAGGGAAAUACAUAGUGACUGGUAGCCGAUGACUCACGAAAACUAUGACGACGGAACAUUCCAAGUAGCAUGUAAAUCAUCACGCGCACUCGUAUGUGCAUAGAUUGUCGUAAACAUAUGGAUCGCGCAACAUUUUUUUCGAGAAUAGUUUUACAUGAACCUAAUGAAAUAUGUAUAUAAAAAUAUUGAUGUAUUAACACACGGGGAUAGGUGCAUGCAUAUGUAUGUAUAGAGCGUCUCUUCCAAGUUUUAGCAACCGGCGCGCGGCGCGGCGACACGUGUAAUACGAGCCUCGCUCGUCGUUUAUCUCGCUGGCUUCUCACCUCUCGGUAUAUGUAUAUACAUAUGCAUUCACUUUCGUCAUUCAACUGUUGACGAGAUGCUGGAUCUCAUUGUCAUUUCGAGAUAGAGAAGUAAAGAGUUAAACAAGUUACGAAAAAUCAAGUAUAUUCUGUUCCUUUACACUUGAAAGUGUUGCCGUACCGAUAAAAACAAACCACUCGAAAUUUACGUAAUUUUACCGAAAGUAUUUUCGAAAAAUGCAAACUACAACAAAAUACAUCAACGAUCCAUGGUUGAAAUUUCAUGCAAGAUUGUUGAAAGUUCGGGAAUGUAACAAAGUCCGAGUAAAUGUAGCGAAUUUUUUAGUCACAAAUGGUGUGUGAUAGCACCAGACAAUUGAUGGUCUAUAUUUAUAAGACGCAACACAACGCUUGAAACGUUGCGCUGAUUAAGAUUCGUAUCGUGUGACGACAAUAUUCGUCUCAAGUUUCGUUUGUACCUACAUACGUAACGAAUCGUGAUAACGGUUUACCACACUGUUUGGCUAUUUUAGAUGUUUGUAACGCAAAUUCUUUAAACAUUGGAAUAAAUAUUUUCAUUCCAAACAGUUGCACUUUACUUAACCGACACCCUACUAUUUUAACAUUUCUUCAUUUAUGUUAAAUCAUCAAUUUACCACACAACGAUUACAACGUAAAGUGAAAUCGUUUUUUGUCACCGAGUUUCCUUUCUAUUUAGUAAAUUAGUGAAAAUUCACCACACGCGACUCUUUCUAAAUAUACAUAUACACCAGAAUAGGGGAUACAACUAUCAUCGAAAUCUCAUCGUCAUGGUAGUUGAUUUUCUGUCACGGUUUCGCAUACUCUUAAGGAAAUGAAUUAAAACGAUUUACUUCCGGUUGUAACAGCCUGUCGAAGGCGUGGCAACUUAACGGUCCAUGCAGGAAUUCUCCUCUGUUCAGUGUAUCAUCCCACUUUCCUAAAGAGGAUCGCGAUCCUUGAUAUACUUGUCAAAGACAAACUUUUCGGAGAAUCUUUUUAAGAUGGACAAACAAAUUUUACUAAUUAAAG